CGGGGAGGCACCACAACAGGUGGAGCCUGCGGUUUAAUUCGGACUCAACGCCGGGAAACGUCACCAGAUAAGACAGCUGAAUGAUAGUCGGGCUGAAGACUCUACUUGACUAGCUGAGAGGAGGUGCAUGGCCGUCGUCAGUUCGUACUGUGAAGCAUCCUGUUAAGUCAGGCAACGAGCGAGACCCACGCCAACAGUUGCCAGCUCGUCCUCCGGGAUGGUGGGGACACUGUUGGGACCGCCUCUGCUAAAGAGGAGGAAGGAAUGGGCAACGGUAGGUCAGCAUGCCCCGAAUUAUCUGGGCUACACGCGGGCUACAAUGGGUGGGACAAUGGGUAUCGACACCGAAAGGUGAAGGCAAUCUCCUAAACCCAUCCGUAGUUCGGAUUGUGGGCUGCAACUCGCCCACAUGAAGCUGGAAUCUGUAGUAAUCGUGUCUCAAAAUGGCACGGUGAAUAUGUCCCUGCUCCUU
rnacentral:rRNA from 1 species